CUUCGAGCCAUCCCAGACUUUAAACAAGCGACACAUUCAGACAGGACAAUUCUCUGGUUACUGUUACUUGCUGAACCAUGCUGCAUAAAAGUGCACCGCAGAGCUUCAGACAAGAGAAACUUCUGUUUUCAGAUUUCAACUGGCCAGGCGAUCAGAACCGACUAAGGUCUUCAUCUAAACAGUGUUGGCCACCUGCUGUCCCGGAGCCCCAGCUUCUUCGGUUUACCGUGGGACACAUAACCAGCUGUGGCUUGUGAGAGUAUGAAGCAGCCUUACGACUUCAGAGCCAGCACGCAGCUGGCCACCCUGUUUCCGCUGCUCCGGCAGGUGGAAGCGCAGCCGAGCUGGCCCUCUCUGCUCACGGUCGUCCAGGCUGACGUCACCACAGUCUUGAUGAAUCCCUGAGUCUAGUCCAGCAGUGCUAUAUCUUCAGGCUGUACUAUGAAAGUGAGAAUGAUCUUUUUACACCUAUAGCUGACUAUAACACCUGUAACAGCCC